rnacentral:rRNA from 1 species
GAUGAACGCUGGCGGCGUGCCUAAUACAUGCAAGUCGAGCGAACAGACGAGGAGCUUGCUCCUCUGACGUUAGCGGCGGACGGGUGAGUAACACGUGGAUAACCUACCUCUAAGACUGGGAUAACUUCGGGAAACCAGAGCUACUACCGGCUAAUAUAUUGAACCGCAUGAUUCAAUAGUGCAUGACGGUUUUGCUGUCACUUAUAGAUGGAUCCGCGUCGCAUUAGCUAGUUGGUAAGGUAACGGCUUACCAAGGCGACGAUGCGUAGCCGACCUGAGAGGGUGAUCAGCCACACUGGAACUGAGACACGGUCCAGACUCCUACGGGAGGCAGCAGUAGGGAAUCUUCCGCAAUGGGCGAAAGCCUGACGGAGCAAUGCCGCGUGAGUGAUGAAGGUCUUCGGAUCGUAAAGCUCUGUUAUUAGGGAAGAACAAAUGUGUAAGUAACUAUGCACGUCUUGACGGUACCUAAUCAGAAAGCCACGGCUAACUACGUG